rnacentral:tRNA from 1 species
AUUCAAAUAGUUUAAUAAAAAUUCUAAUUUGUGGGAUUAGAGAUGUAGUUUUACUUUGGAUA